CAGCCGCCACGGUAAUACGUAGGGUGCAAGCGUUAAUCGGAAUUACUGGGCGUAAAGCGUGCGCAGGCGGUGAGUUAAGUCUGCUGUGAAAUCCCCGGGCUCAACCUGGGAAUGGCAGUGGAUACUGGCUCGCUAGAGUGUGUCAGAGGAUGGUGGAAUUCCCGGUGUAGAGGUGAAAUUCGUAGAUAUUGGGAAGAACACCGGUGGCGAAGGCGGCAACCUGGCUCAUUACUGACGCUGAGGCGCGAAAGCGUGGGGAGCGAACAGGAUUAGAUACCCCUGUAGUCCCUGUCUCUUAUAC
rnacentral:rRNA from 1 species